GGAUGCAGCUCAGUGGUAGAGUGCUUUACUAGCAUGCUGAGGCCCUGGGUUAAAUCCCCAGUAGCACGCA
rnacentral:tRNA from 1 species